UUCUCAACUGCAACAAGGAAAACAGCAACACGCGUUUGUCAGCAAAAUUUACACAUUAGUACAAAAAUGGAAAAUGCAAUUCUACCCUCAAAGAAAAAUAUCUGAGCACAAUGUUGUAAACAUAUUCAUAUGCAUUGCAUCAGGCCCUUUGAAAACAAAUGCAAACGUCCUCAGCACAAACAUGACAAGCUUAAAGGAAUACACUGAAAGCCGAGGCCUUGAAUUACACUGCAUAAAGAUGGAGUUUUACUACUACUGGUAAAGUGUCACAAUUGGCUUUUACCUAGCGUUAACUGAACUGUAUCAUAUCGUCAAACAUUGUAGGGGGAUGUAUUUUCUGAGCAAGGCCUCAAGUUAUUACAAAUUAAAUGAAGUGUGAUUUGACGCCCUCUUCACCAGCAAGACGGGACAAUGUAGAGAGCUAAAACAUAAUGCUACCCCAACAGACUGUCACACAUUGUAACAAAACAAGGCCAAAGUUGGACAGCUGUCCAAACACUGCGUUCAUCUAGCUAACCGAUCUACGCAGGUGGCCGUUGUUAGCUUACCAAGCAACGGUAUCGCACCACUAUUCAAAAUAGCUAACUUUUAACAAAGUUAGCUUUAGUUCGGAAUACUAAGGUAUUCCAACUCCUAUCGCAAAUUGCAUUUAGAUGUUUAUCGUUAACGUAAAUACCGUCUUGACAGCUCAUUAAAGAUACCUUUCGCGCUGAAUGGCUGUCGCUACAACGGUAGCUAACGUUAGCGUUGGCUGCUACUGCUAACAGGGCUAGAGUCAGUCCGUUUGAACUGCAGGGUGCAAGUCUCUCAAAUCGCCUCCCGAUGCCCAACACGCUCGGUUUCCCGUGGCUCUGUCGGAUGUUUCCUCUGUCACAAGUCAGUGACCUUAUUCUCCACGGCAGCCGCGAUCUGCUGCAGUCUGUAGCCGAGCUGCAUUUUCUGGGCUGUGGUGUCCUCCUCCAGCGCUGUGAUGAUCUAAUGAGGAGAAGAAGAAGAUGGCACAGAAAUGGAUGGAUGGAGAGAGGAAUGAUGAGGAAGAGACAAACACAAAUAUAUUUAUCAAGUAUCAAGUAGUUUCUCCUUUGAAUGUGUUCUUUGUCUGGUUUGCCUUAUCCAAGCGGAGGACUAAGAAUACAGGGUACUGUAUGUUGCAAAGGUUUCUGAGACAAGAAUGUGAUUUGUGACUGUGGGCUACAUAAAUAAAACUGACUAUACUGUCUGAAUGUCAGUCA